GGGACGCAGCGGAGCGGAGGUACAGACAGCCAGGUUCAUAAGGGAUAUAAGGAAGUUUUUUCCAAAAAAGGAGCCACAUUCAGUCCAAAGAGGGAGAGAGGAAAGAGGGGAACGUGAGGAGAAAGUACAAGGUCAGGAAGAACCAGCCUGACUUCACUGCCUGCACUCCAGACCUUUGGCCAGCUGAAGACAUUUGGAGCAUCAUGAAACCAAAAACAUGACAGAGAAGACCCAGGACUGCUGAGCAGCUAGAAUCCUCUAACAGACAAGAACAGGACGACAUUCCUUUUCCCAGUAAAUAAACUGCAUCAUUGUAGAACUUCUGACAGACUGAAUUUGAGAAUAUUUGACCCACAGUUGGAAGCUCAUUUCAGGAGUUUAAUUGUCAUUUUUCUUGUCUUAGUCGUGUUGUGGGGAC
ensembl:lncRNA